rnacentral:rRNA from 1 species
UCGCGCAAACUUUGCAAUACACGAAAGUGUGACAGGGCUAUCCCGAGUGCCGUCCGCUGAGGAUGGCUUUUAACCAGUCUAGAAAGCUGGUAGAAUAAGGAGAGGGCAAGUCUGGUGUCAGCCGCCGCGGUAAUACCAGCUCUCCGAGUGGUGUGGAUGUUUAUUGGGCCCAAAGCAUCCGUAGCUGGCCAAGCAAGUCCCUUGUUAAACCCACCGAAUUAAUCGUUGGCGUGCGGGGGAUACUGCUCGGCUAGGGGACGGGAGAGGCAGACGGUAUUCUCGGGGUAGGGGUGAAAUCCUAUAAUCCCGAGAAGACCACCAGUGGCGAAGGCGGCUUGCCAGAACGCGCUCGACGGUGAGGGAUGAAAGCUGGGGGAGCAAACCGGAUUAGAUACCCGGGUAGUCCCAGCUGUAAACGAUGCAGACUCGGUGAUGGGCUGGCUUCGUGCCAACCCGGUGCCGCAGGGAAGCCGUUAAGUCUGCCGCCUCGGGGAGUACGGUCGCAAGACUGAAACUUAAAGGAA